rnacentral:rRNA from 1 species
GAUGAACGCUGGCGGCGUGCCUAAUACAUGCAAGUCGAGCGGUAACAGGCUCGUCACAGUUUGCUUUAAAGCUCUACGAUCUUCGGGUUGUAGACGAUGAAUUAUUCUAGAGGACUAGGCUAGUCCAAAGGAAUGAGGAGUUGUAUUAAGCGAAAGUGUUGAGAGUAGCUGACGAGCGGCGGACGGCUGAGUAACGACGUAGGAACGUACCCCAAAGUGAGGGAUAAGCAUUGGAACAGUGUCUAAUACCGCAUGUGAUCUAAGGAUUAAAGCUCCGGCGCUUUGGGAACGGCCUGCGUAUGAUUAGUUAGUUGGGUGAGGUAAUGGCUCGAACCAAGACUUCGAUCAUUAG